GCAUAUCAAUAAGCGGAGGAAAAGAAACUAACAAGGAUUCCCCUAGUAACUGCGAGUGAAGCGGGAAAAGCUCAAAUUUGAAAUCUGGCAGUCUAUUUUUUCUUCUUUGGCUGUCCGAGUUGUAAUCUAGAGAAGUGCUUACCUGCACUGGACCAUGUAUAAGUCUCCUGGAAUGGAGCGUCACAGAGGGUGAGAAUCCCGUCUUUGACAUGGACCGCCAGUGUGUUGUGGUGUGCUCUCAAAGAGUCGAGUUGUUUGGGAAUGCAGCUCUAAAUGGGUGGUAAACUCCAUCUAAAGCUAAAUAUUGGCGAGAGACCGAUAGCGAACAAGUACCGUGAGGGAAAGAUGAAAAGGACUUUGGAAAGAGAGUUAAACAGUAUGUGAAAUUGUUGAAAGGGAAACGCUUGAAGUCAGUUAUGUCGGCUAGGGAUCAACCUAGCUCUUUUGCUGGGUGAAUUUCCUAUUCUGACAGGCCAACAUCAGUUUUGACUGCUGGAAAAGAGCAGGGGGAAUGUGGCACCUUCGGGUGUGUUAUAGCCCUUUGUCAUAUGUGGCAGUCGGGACUGAGGGAUGCAGCGUGCCGCGAGGCUGGGUUUCGACCACGUUCACGCUUAGGAUGUUGGCUUUUAAUGGCUUCAAUCGACCCGUCUUGAAACACGGACCAAGGAGUCUAACAUGCCUGCGAGUGUUUGGGUGGAAAACCCUUGCGCGCAAUGAAAGUGAAAGUUGAGAUCCCUGUCAUGGGGAGCAUCGACGCCCGGACUUGAGCUUUUAGCGACGGAUCCGCGGUAGAGCAUGCAUGUUGGGACCCGAAAGAUGGUGAACUAUGCCUGAAUAGGGCAAAGCCAGAGGAAACUCUGGUGGAGGCUCGUAGCGAUUCUGACGUGCAAAUC
rnacentral:rRNA from 1 species